rnacentral:rRNA from 1 species
UACGUAGGGUGCAAGCGUUGUCCGGAAUUAUUGGGCGUAAAGAGCUCGUAGGCGGUUUGUCGCGUCUGCUGUGAAAACGCGAGGCUCAACCUCGCGCCUGCAGUGGGUACGGGCAAACUAGAGUGCGGUAGGGGAGAUUGGAAUUCCUGGUGUAGCGGUGGAAUGCGCAGAUAUCAGGAGGAACACCGAUGGCGAAGGCAGAUCUCUGGGCCGUAACUGACGCUGAGACGCGAAAGCGUGGGGAGCGAACAGG